rnacentral:rRNA from 1 species
UACGUAGGGGGCUAGCGUUGUCCGGAAUCAUUGGGCGUAAAGAGCGUGUAGGCGGCCCGGUAAGUCCGCUGUAAAAGUCAAAGGCUCAACCUUUGAAUGUCAGUGGAUACUGCCGGGCUAGAGUCCGGAAGAGGCGAGUGGAACUCCUGGUGUAGCGGUGAAAUGCGCAGAUAUCAGGAGGAACACCGAUUGCGAAGGCAGCUCGCUGGGACGUAACUGACGCUGAGACGCGAAAGCGUGGGGAGCAAACAGG